AUAUAUAUAUAUAUCUCUUUUAAAAGAAGAUAAGGAGAGUUGACUAGAGAGAUGGGGGAAGGAAAAAUCUUGAAGCUUUGAUCUCCAUCUUCUUCAAGUUUAGGUCUCAAGUUAUUGGGAGUAUUCUAGAGUAGUUAAGGACAUGUGAAUAACACGAGCACAAGUGGUGGGGUCUCGAAGGUGACUUUUGAAACUAGGAGGCUUAGUCCUAGUAUUGGAGCUUAUCAUGGACUUUUGGUUGUGUGGCAUAACACUUACCGAUUUUAUUU